AAAAAGAUAAGCUAAAUUAAGCUAUUAGGUUCAUACCCUAAAUAUAGGAUUCAUCCUUCUUUUUA
rnacentral:tRNA from 1 species